rnacentral:lncRNA from 1 species
GUAGACAUUUGAUAGAAGGGUAUUUGUGUUGCUUCCUCAGACAAUAGUGAGUGUGGACAUGUUCCCCAGUCUCUAGGCACGGAACCUGUCACUCAGAGAGGUGACAGUCACACAGCAGGUAGAAGAGGCACAGAGCUAGAUUCCAGCAGCUCACCCAGUCCAGAGCCGCCAGGUUACCCACAGACAUCUGUUCACACCACUUUCUCCUUAGAACUGGGGCCACUUAGAUUAGUGUCCUUGUCUGUGCCGCAGCUUAGCUCCUCACCUCAGUUCAGAUAUUUCACCAUGUCAACACAGUUGCACUAUGAGUAAUGUUAAGACUCUAGAAGCCUCUGCUUUGCUACCAAACCCUUGGAUGCUUUCAAAUCCAGUUAAGCUUUAAUCAGAUCUUUCUUGAAUUACUUUUGUGGCUAUAAGAUGUCUAUUAUAAAAAAUUCCAUUUAAGAAAACAAAAAGAUGCUUAUAAUCCCCUUACUUAAAAAUAGCAAUGUUAACUUGUAUAUUUCCUUAGUCUGUUUCUGGGAAGUGUGUAUUUGGAAAGUUGGUAUCAGCAUAGUGUCUUGUUCGUUUGGUGGUCAUUUAUGGUAACAAUUGGUGUCAUCAGAUUCUUUAAGUUAUUUUGAUAGUUUUAGAACAAUAUCUUGUUUUAUGCAUUAAGUCUUAAGUAUCAAACAUUACAAAAUUUUAGAUAAUUUCUUUAUUGUCUUAUACAUUGUUAAAAUUAAAUAAAAUCAAUAAUAUUUUUAGAUUUUUUUCUAAAAAUUACUUCAAAGCUUGACAUAAGUGAUUGGUACUUUACAUUGGUAAAAUUUUAUUCCUUUUGGAAGUUUUUUUAUCAAACAUUUGUAUACUCAAACAGUUGAUAUUUAUGAUAUCCUUUCAGUGCAAUUACUGAGAAUAAAACUAAGGGAAACUCCUACCUUGGCAAUGCUUACAGUUCAGUGCAGGUAAUGUGUAACAGGUACUGAAGUAAGGCAGCAAGCACUGUACUAAGAAGACACAAAGGGUACAUGAUGGAGUUUUGAGCAAAGAAUGAAGGGAAGACUUCCUAGCAUGACAUAUGAUCUGGGCCUCAAACCUGGAUAGGAUUGCAUGGGAGAAAGCUAGAAAGGGCACCUGAGGCUAAAGAAAUGGUGUAUAUAGUCAGCCAAAGAGAGCUGAGAGCAUCUGUUAUCUUUGUCAGUCAUGGGGCACAUCUGAGGGAACAACAGGCCAGUUGUGGCAGGUGACCUCCAGCAUGAUUACCAAUCAGUGUGUACCUGGCUCCAUGCUAAACUCCUUCUCUUAUAGAACCUUUGAGGUCACCUAACAGUCUUUUGAGCUGUUCACAUUUCCACAAGCAGGAGACUGAAGCUCAGGAGACUAAGUCACAAGCUCAUGUGAGGCAGGACCAAAACUCAAGCUAGAUCUGAAGCCCAUGCUUGCUUUGCUCCCACAUUUCUGUUCCUUGACGAAUGCUAUUCUUUAACUAGUUAGAGCCCCAUAUCUUGCUCUGCACGAAAGUCAACUGCAGAUGGAUCAAAUCUGUUAAUAUACAAAUGCUAAGACUGUUAGAGGGGAAAGUAGGGAAAACACUUGAAGAUGCAGGAAUGAGCAAGGACUUUCUGAAAUAAAGCCAGCAAUGGAAAGUAAAAAGUUUCUCCACAGCAAAAGACACAGUUGAUCAAGAGACAUCCUACGGAAUGGGAGGAAACUUUUGUUAGCUAUCCACCUUAUAGAAGAUUAAAACCUAGAAUAUUUCAAAAGC